rnacentral:rRNA from 1 species
AUUGAACGCUGGCGGCAGGCCUAACACAUGCAAGUCGAGCGGAUGAGGGUAGCUUGCUACCUGAUUCAGCGGCGGACGGGUGAGUAAUGCCUAGGAAUCUGCCUGGUAGUGGGGGACAACGUUUCGAAAGGAACGCUAAUACCGCAUACGUCCUACGGGAGAAAGUGGGGGAUCUUCGGACCUCACGCUAUCAGAUGAGCCUAGGUCCGAUUAGCUAGUUGGUGGGGUAAAGGCUCACCAAGGCGACGAUCCGUAACUGGUCUGAGAGGAUGAUCAGUCACACUGGAACUGAGACACGGUCCAGACUCCUACGGGAGGCAGCAGUGGGGAAUAUUGGACAAUGGCGCAAGCCUGAUCCAGCCAUGCCGCGUGUGUGAAGAAGGUCUUCGGAUUGUAAAGCACUUUAAGUUGGGAGGAAGGGCAGUAAGUUAAUACCUUGCUGUUUUGACGUUACCGACAGAAUAAGCACCGGCUAACUCUGUGCCAGCAC